GCGGAAGGCUGCAGCUGCUGUCAGGAGGCCCUCUGUCUACACUCCUCUCUGGAGAAGUUUUGUCUCCAUGAGGUCAUACAGCUGCUUGAGGUUGCUCGGAGAGUAAGAAGCAGAAUGAGAACUAGAACAGAAGCUCACUUUGGCCUGAAGGCUCAUGUGCUGAGCAUCUUCCCUUGUCUGUCUCCACCCCUAGCCUGGUGCCCAGCAUGUAGAAGACCUUCAUCCUAGAUGCAAUGGGAUUAAACUUGGAGAAAAUGGGAUUAAACUUGGACAAACACUACCUAUUUGGACUUGUGAUGAUGGCUUUCAAACUUCUUAAAGCAAUGAAGUAUUUUUUCCAGAAGAAACCUUACACAAGAAGCCCAGCACACUGAGUCAAGCAUAUGUAGGUGGAAGAUAUCUGGUUGAGACCAAGUAGAGAUAAACCUGUAGAUUCAACUGUGCCACCACAGUGAAUUCUAAGAAUCCACUGACUGUGAUCUGUAAGCUCCUACUCCACAGGAGGUCAGGGCACACAGCUUGAAACCGGAAGGCAGAAGAGUGACAGGGAAGGGUCAUGGACUCUGAAAUUAGAGCUAUCUGUGUUUUAAUACUAGUUCCAAUAGGCACAUGGUCUUGGAUAAAUGGUUUAAAUUAUCUGAGUCUCAAUUUCUUUCUCUGCAAAAAGGGAUGAUUAGUACAUAUGUAAUAGGGUUUUUAUAGAAAAUUGUAUAACUUGUUAAACACACAUGUACUAAGUGCUUGGUGCCCAGUAUGCACUGAAUAAAUGCUAGCUCCUUGCCUUUCAUCUCUAUGACCCUUCCCAAAUCUCUCAGCCCCAUAUUGCUUCAUGUAGUGUGUGUAUAUUUGGGAAAAUUUGUGUGCAUAUUUACAGAUGGGAUCCUACUCUUCUAUUGACAGACUGUCUUUUCAGAUGUGCCUUACUUUCAUUGCAUUGGUUUUUCAACUGAAAGUGAACAUAAAGGUUUUAAGCAUGCCUAGGUCUUAUCUUUUUGGUCAAAUAUCUAACACCCUCAAUAACAGUUGUAAAUCAUUCUUUUGUAAUUUGAUCAUUCAUUUUUAUAAAGUAAAACACAACUGCCCACUGUAAAAAUAGACUUCAUUUGCUCUUUUCUUCCAGUGCAGCAAAUGACAGACACUUUAAGAACACACAUUUAACUUCAGCAAACAAAUCAUGUAUAUUUUAGACAUAACUGUCAAGUAUAGAAAUGAUACCAUCCAACUUACCAAACUAUCACAUAAGAAUGCCCAAUAGCAGACAUUAGGAUGGGGCAAAACUGAAAGAAGGAUUGACUUCAUCAAACCCUUGAUGACAUACAAAAUGGAAACCAUUCAAGUUCAACUGAAGAAAACGAUAUCCCACAAGAUCUAGGGGUAAAAAGCAGACAAAGUUUAGGAAUGAAUUUAAACUACUGACUUACGUGUUGUCAGGAGUCUAUUUCUAUUCCUCAAUUUUACUCCUUUUUGU
rnacentral:lncRNA from 1 species